GCUGGGCGUGGUGGUGCACGCCUGUAAUCCCAGCAGCUCAGGAGGCUGAGGCAGGAGAAUUGCAGGUUCAAAGCCAGCCUCAGCAAUUUAGUGAGGCCCUAAGCAACUCCGUGAGACCCUGCCUCUA
rnacentral:sRNA from 1 species